rfam:Oryza nivara chromosome 3, whole genome shotgun sequence.
UUUAAGUGCAACCAUAAGUUUUUGCACCCAAUUUUGAUCGUCCGUCUUAUUUAAUUUUUUUUAUAAUUAGUAUUUUUAUUAUUAUUAGAUAAUAAAAUAUUAAUAAUACUUUAUACAUAACUUAUGUUUUUAAUAUUUUUUAAAUAAGAUGGAUGAUCAAAGAUGCACGAAAAAUUUUGACUGCACUUAAA